rnacentral:rRNA from 1 species
ACCGAAUAGAUACCCCGGUAGUCCACGCCCUAAACUAUGCGAACUGGAUGUUGGGUACAUUACGGUACUCAGUGUCGAAAGCUAAACGCGUUAAGUUCGCCGCCUGGGGAGUACGGUCGCAAGACUGAAACUCAAAGGAAUUGACGGGGGCCCGCACAAGCGGUGGAGUAUGUGGUUUAAUUCGAUGCAACGCGAAGAACCUUACCUGGCCUUGACAUCUGUCGAAUCCUGCAGAGAUGCGUGAGUGCCGCAAGGAACGACAAGACAGGUGCUGCAUGGCUGUCGUCAGCUCGUGUCGUGAGAUGUUGGGUUAAAGUCCCGCAACGGAGCGCAACCCGUUCGUCCCUAGUUGCCAGCACAUCAUGGU